GUCAUUUUUCUGAUAUCAGUGAAAAAGGUCAUUCCAGUAGAACAUUGGCAUUUCUGUGUGAUUGUCCUUUCAAAGCCAUUAGUGCAAUCAGGGCUCCAUCUUCUAUUGAGGCAAUGAAGGAAAACAUUUUGCACAAGGAUGCAAAACUAAUAGUGCUGAGCUUAGGCCCUGUGUCGGAGGACACCUGGUGGUUUCUUUUCAUACAUACUUCAUCUGGCUCAUGGGUGAUUAGUAGGAUGAAGCUAGAUAGAGCAGAAAACACGAAUUUUUGGAGCCGAACUAUUUCAAGAUGGCCCCGGAGUGAUGGCAACACUUCAGGUUUUAAUGUCUUUUUAGUGUUAGUGUUUUACAGAGGAAAGAACAAAUAGAAAAGUAAGCAUGUUGGGUUAGCACACCUAGGAAAAAGCAGAACAAUGAGCUGUGUCUAGUUGCCAAAAAUUAUAUUAAUGUUUGGGUUAUGAACAUUAAAGAUUUCUAUACUUUGAGACAGACAAGAGUGAUUCUAUGAAUCUGCUGCCUAUUUUGAAAGUUGAAUGAGCCAAGAUUCAACCUGAAAAUACACAUUUAGUAAAAUCUAGAAGCAAGGGUACAUGGAGCAAGGCAUCUUAGUUGAUUGAUCUAUAAUCUGUAUAUCUGUAUUUCUUAAAAUCUAGCCUUCUGAAGGUAAAAGCUUCCAACAGGAAGAAAAACUUAAAACAGAAUCUCACAUGUUUACUAACUGUAACACCAAAAGUUAUUUUCAACUUUCAAG
rnacentral:lncRNA from 1 species